GCUGUCACCGGGGAUGAACAACUUUUGUCACGUGACCGCAAAAGUCAACGCCGGUUGCAGAAACAGAUUGUAAUCUUGUACAUUAAGAAACAUGACGCUCGUGUGUGAAAUCUGUGGAAAGACAUUUAAAUCGAAGUGGGGGUUAAAGCUUCAUGAUAAGCGCCACAGAGGGACUGGACGAUUCGCCUGUUGUGGAAAAACAUUUUACACAAAACAGGCGUUCAACAGACACAGAUGCAGCAUUCAUGGUGUUGAAAAGCCGUUCCCCUGUGAACAAUGCGGCAAAAAGUUUUCAACCAAAGAUGACCUGAAUCGUCACGUCCGGAGGGAGGUUGCUGCAAAGCAAUUUACCUGCUCAAUUUGCAAUGCAACGCUCCGGGAGAAAAUUGACCUUCAGGCCCACCUUGCCACCCACAAUGGAGAGAAAAACUUUGCUUGUGAUAUGUGUGAAAAGAGGUACAGGCACCGCAGUAGUCUAUCAAAGCACAGAUCUGCAAAGCACCGGGCCUAGUCAUCUGUUGCAUGACGAUGAUAAGACCAAGAAUUAUUUUUAAUUCUUACCAAUGUGCCGUGGUUAUUUUCUUAAUUAUUGAAAAUACAGACUGUCAUACAAUAAUAUAUAGUAUUACGCGUGUUUUUGCGUCUUAAACAUUGUGUUUCAUAUCGUUUAUCUUGUGUUGUUUUGUUUGAUAUUCCUGUUUUUAAUAAGAUUAUUGUUGUAAUAUUUAUCAUUCUAAUUUAAAAUGAUUAUGAUAAUGGUUGAUCUCAUACAAAUUAUUGUGUUCAUUAUUGCUCAUCUGUGAUUACUGUUGAUCUCAGCCCAUGAAUUGUGAUUUAUAUUGAUUAUCUGUGAUUAUUGUUGAUCUUAUCAAAAUAAUUGUAAUUUAUGUUGAUUAUCUGUGAAUUUUUUAUCUUAACCUAUUAAUAGUGAUUUAUAUUAUCUGUGAUUAUUGUUGAUCUUAUCAAAAUCAUUGUGAUUUAUGUUGAUUAUCUGUGAUUAUUGUUGAUCUCAACCGAUUAAUUGUGAUUUAUAUAACCAGUGAUUAUUGUUGAUCUUUUCGAAAUCAUUGUAAUUUAUGUUGAUUAUCUGUGAUUAUUGUUGAUCUUUUCAAAAUCAUUGUAAUUAAUGUUGAUUAUCUGUGAUUAUUGUUGAUCUUUUCAAAAUCAUUGUAAUUUAUGUUGAUUAUCUGUGAUUAUUGUUGAUCUUUUCAAAAUCAUUGUAAUCUAUGUUGAUUAUCUGUGAUUAUUGUUGAUCUUUUCAAAAUCAUUGUAAUUUAUGUUGAUUAUCUGUGAUUAUUGUUGAUCUUUUCAAAAUCAUUGUAAUUUAUGUUGAUUAUCUGUGAUUAUUGUUGAUCUCACCAUAUCCGCUGGAAUAUACAUUUGAGCCGCGCUCUGUGAAAAGGGGGUUUAAUGCAUGUGCGUAAAGUGCAGUCCACAUAGGCUAAUCAGGGACGGCACUUUCCGCUUUUAUGAUAUGUUUUGUUAAAAGAAAGUCUCUUCUGAGCAAAAAUCGAGUUUAUCGGAAAGGUUUGUCCCUAAUUAGCCUGUACGGAAUGCACAGGCUAAUAUGUGACGACACCUUACGCACAUGCAUUAAACCCCCUUUUCACAGAGCGAGACUCAUUUGUAAUCUGCGAUUUUUGUUUAUCUAUUUCGAAUCAAUAUGAUUAAAAUAUAUUUUUGGUGAGUUAGCUUUUUGUCUCAUUGGAAUCAUUGUGCGAAUUGUCAACAAUUACAUGUAAAUCUGUAAUUCCUUCUCAAGUUGCACAUAGGCCAGUUUAAUGUUUUGCGUAUAAGCUAUUAUUGCGAUACGGGAUAUUCUUUGCAGCAAUAAAACAAUUAAUCUGCA